GUUUGAGAUGUAGUGCUCAUGUCCAUUCCAUUCUAGGCGUGUGCGCACCCACAAGCAUGGUCGUCAGAGAUUAUUGCCUUAGCAGUAUCUGUAGGGCCAGCUGUGGUGCCCCCUUGAGUGCCACGCUCAUACGUCACUAUAUCAGGCACCUCCAGUGCUACGCCCUCUCAGUUCCUUCUUGCCGGCAACUCCAGACAGAGGGGCAGGAGGGUGGGUAAUGGAAUGGACAUGAGCAACACAGCUCAAAGAACAACAGUUACAAAAAGGCCCAGAUCACAGCAGGUGGAACACACCAUUUCGAGGCUCCUCUGCACUUGUUCCACAGACCUGCCCUUGAUGAGCCAGUCGUCAAGAUAUGGGAAAACCUGGACCCCUCAACGUCUCAGACCCAUCAAGUCUGCCAUGGUCUUGGUGGUGGGGGUGGCCAGAACUGCUUCCUUGCAGACUGCGGCGUAUGAAUACCCAUCGAGCGUCCUUCAACCCAUGCAGCCUAAGAGUCCAUUCCCAUUGAAUGGGAGGUCCUGAAUGGAGGUCUGCAUUUCUUGGGACAGGCCAGCAGCUGCACCUCAUGACCACCACUGAUGCGACCACCCUAGCCGCCAAGUCCACCACAUCCCACACCAUUUGGAGAGAGCACCUGGCCAUCGUGGUACCCUCCUCUACCAGGGUGCCGAAUUCCUAGGCCAAAUCUUGGGGGAGAGGCUCCUUGAACUUAGAGAGGAAGUUAAAACUGUACCUACCCAAGAGAGCCUGGUGGUUCACCACCCAGAAUUGCAGGCUGGCUGUCGAAUAAGUUUUCCUCCCGAAAAGGUCCCAUUAUUUGGCCUCUUUGUUUUUGAGAGUUGGAAGUGGUGUGCCCCUGCUUGUCCCUCUAGUUGGCCACAGAGAUGACCAGCAAUCCCAGAGAUGGCUGGGUAUAUAGGUACUCAAACCCUUUGGCUGGGACAAAAGUACUACUUUUCAGCCCUUUUGGUGGUAGGAGGGAUGGAAAACAGGGUUUACCAGAAGGCCUUGGCAAUUUUCAGGAUCCCAUCAGGCAUAGGGCCGACGGUGCCUGAUAUACUGACACAUGAGCACAGCACUAACAGGGGCACCACAAUCGACCCUAAAGAUACCACUAAGGCAAAAAUCUCCAUCUGCGCACGCGGACGCAUGAACACCUAGAAUGGAAUCGACAUGAGCAAGCAUACGAAGAACAAUAACUAGGGUUCACUCAAUGAAAUUAAUAGGCAGCAAGUUUAAAACUAACCUAAGGAAGUAUUUCCUCACACAAUGCACAGUUAGUCUGUGGACUUCAUUGCCAGGGGAUGUUGUGAAGGUCAGAAGUAUAACUGGGUUCAAAAUAGAAUGAGAAGUUCAUGGAGGAUGGGUAUAUCAGGGGCUAUCCGCCAAGAUGGUCAGGGAUGCGACCCCGUUCUCUGAGUGUCCCUAAACCUGACUGCCAGAAGCCGGGACUGGAUCACGUGAUAAUUGUACUGUUCUGUUCAUUCCCUCUGAAGCAUCUGGCACUGUCAGAUGACAGGUUACUUGGCUAGAUGCACCAUUGGUUUGGCCUAUUAUGCCUUUCUUAUGUUCUCAAGAGUAUUUUUGGAAUGUUGAAGACUGGCAUGGUGGAGGACCACAUAAAAUAUAAACCCUAUAGUAGCUGUAAUGGAGUAUACAUCUGGGGAGUACUUCACAUACACAAGGUGUGUUACAGGCAGUCUUGGGAAUUACAUAGUGUCAGGAUGCCAAAUUUCUCUAGUGAAGAAAAAACCAGAGAGGGAAGAAAACCACAGAUGCACAAAGAUUCAGGACAGAACCAUAAUCAAAACAGUCCUCCUAAUCUGAGCAAAAGCUAACAUGUUAAGAUAGGACGUAAAUUCUCUUAAAAAUUUGUAGCUGUAAAACUAUCAUGGCAACCUACAUUCUUUCAUACCUCAAACUCAGCCAAGCAGGAUUUAAGAUCUGAUGUCUUUAAUUUCCUCUAUCUUUUAACUAACAAUGUUACAUUUCAGAUGCAACAGCCUAUUUUUGGACAAGUGCUGUAAAGAGUGUCAAUAAACACUUCAUCCUCCUAGAGGGGCCUCAGGGGAAAAAUCUAAUUUGUUUUCGUCCUGCUGACAAAUCAGAAGAAGCAAGACUGAUGAGGGAGAUGGACAGACAUUUGGGUUGCAGUACUAUCUGUAGGCUGACACAGGCAAAGAGCAGAGUACUAUCUCUGUAAUUAAAACAGUAACCUUAAUUGCCUGUGCCAAACCAAGAUUGCUUCUUGGAGGAAAUCAAGGCUCAAUCCAUAUAACAUGGAGUUGAUGCAGGCAGCCAGAAGGAAAAAAUACAGUCACUAGUGAAUACUGACUGAUCUUUGCAUUCAGAAGGUAAAUCUCUGGUUUCAGUGAUUUUCAAUUUCAGGGGCAAUAUUUGACCCCUUAUUGCUAUUCUUAGAUUCCUAUAUGACAGUGAUGGUAAAAGGCAUUUCAUGCUAUCUUCAGAUGGCUCUUCUCUGACAUGGAUCUCUCCAUGCUUACCACCUACGAAUUUCACUAGCAUAGGGCACCACAGGUAUCUGGAACUACUCUUGAAGAUCACUCAGAACCUUCAGAUAGUGCAAACAGAAUGCAGCCUCCUGCUUAAUGAGCAGGCCCAGUAGAGAACACCUGGGCUCUAAACUAGCUUGACUUAAGUACAAUUCAAGAUGCUGAGAAUUAUCUAUAAAGCCUAAAAAUACUCCAAAAUAUACUCUCUCUCUCUCUCUCUGCACCAUCAUAGAAUUUAUAGUCAACAAAUAUUCUUCCUCACAGUUCAACUCCAAAGGGCAGACAGCCCUUCAAUCCAGUAUUUGGCCACCUUUAGAAAUCAGUACAAGAUAGCAAGUCUUAUAAUCUAUCUGAAGAGUAAAUACUGCUGGAUGGGAGCAAGGUGAGGUUCUGUGUUGGAUAUUUUGGGCUGAAAAAGACUCUCCACUUUAUAAUUUGUAUAUUGUACACAGAUAAGCCUGUUAAAAACAAAUAAACUAAUUUUCCACAAACCAGUGAACAGGUUCCAUGAACAUUUGUGAUAAGAAUAAAACUGUAAUAUCACCAAGUCUUUGUAACAUUCUAAAACUUUUUGUGAUAGUUAAUAUAAUAUUAAGUUUUAAAAAAAAUACCAG